rnacentral:rRNA from 1 species
GUCGAGGGGUAUAGUAGCAAUACUAGAGACCGGCGCACGGGUGCGUAACGCGUAUGCAAUCUACCUUAUACAGAGGGAUAGCCCAGAGAAAUUUGGAUUAAUACCUCAUAGCAUAGCAACUUCGCAUGAAGUCACUAUUAAAGUUCCAACGGUAUAAGAUGAGCAUGCGUCCUAUUAGCUAGAUGGUAAGGUAACGGCUUACCAUGGCUACGAUAGGUAGGGGUCCUGAGAGGGAGAUCCCCCACACUGGUACUGAGACACGGACCAGACUCCUACGGGAGGCAGCAGUGAGGAAUAUUGGACAAUGGGCGCAAGCCUGAUCCAGCCAUGCCGCGUGCAGGAAGACGCAUCUAUGGUGUGUAAACUGCUUUUGUACGGGAAGAAACACUCCCUCGUGAGGGAGCUUGACGGUACCGUAAGAAUAAGGAUCGGCUAACUCCGUGCCAGCAGCCGCGGUAAUACGGAGGAUCCAAGCGUUAUCCGGAAUCAUUGGGUUUAAAGGGUCCGUAGGCGGUUUGGUAAGUCAGUGGUGAAAGCCCAUCGCUUAACGAUGGAACGGCCAUUGAUACUGCCAGACUUGAAUUACUGGGAAGUAACUAGAAUAUGUAGUGUAGCGGUGAAAUGCUUAGAU